GGAGAGCAACCCCCAGAGAGUGCAGGAGAAGCAGCAGCAGCAGCAGCAGGGUGACGUCCCCUAUCUUGGCACAUUCCUUGGUGACCUGUUGAUGCUGCGUCUGGCGAUGGGUGAUUAUCUCCAGGAACACCGAGUCAUGAGGGAGAUCCUGCUGCUCCAGGUGGCUGCAAAGAAUUACAACCAGAGCCCGAGGACCGAUUUGGGGCCUGGUUCCAGGACAUGGAGCUGCUCAACGAGAAUGAUAGGUCAAAGACCAAGGGCAGAGGUCAUCAAGAGGUCAAGUCUAAUCUACCUACGGAUGUGGCAGGCUUAACUAUGGAUGUUCAAGCCAAACAUUGCCAGCAGAAACACAUCUCUUUAC